rnacentral:rRNA from 1 species
GUCGAGAGGCUUUGGCAAUGGGGGAAACCCUGACCAAGCGACGCCGCGUGGAGGAUGAAGGCCCUUGGGUUGUAAACUCCUUUUGUCGGGGAAGAAACUCGAUCAGGUGAACAAUCUGGUCGCUUGACGGUACCCGGCGAAUAAGCUCCGGCUAACUCCGUGCCAGCAGCCGCGGUAACACGGGGGGAGCAAGCGUUGUUCGGAAUCACUGGGCGUAAAGGGCGUGUAGGCGGUCAAGUAAGUGGAAUGUGAAAUGCCUCGGCUCACCCGAGGAUCUGCAUCCCAAACUGCUUGGCUUGAGUAUGGGAGAGGAUGAGGGAAUUCCUGGUGUAGCGGUGAAAUGCGUAGAUAUCAGGAGGAACACCGGUGGCGAAAGCGCUCAUCUGGCCCAAUACUGACGCUGAGGCGCGAAAGCUAGGGGAGCAAACGGGAUUAGAAACCCCAGUAGUCC